UACGUAGGGUCCGAGCGUUGUCCGGAUUUAUUGGGCGUAAAGAGCUCGUAGGCGGCUUGCUAAGUCAGGUGUGAAACCUCCAGGCUCAACCUGGAGCCGCCACCUGAUACUGGUAUGGCUAGAGUCCGGUAGGGGACCACGGAAUUCCUGGUGUAGCGGUGAAAUGCGCAGAUAUCAGGAAGAACACCCGUGGCGAAGGCGGCUUUCUGGGACGGUACUGACGCUGAGACGCGAAAGCGUGGGGAGCGAACAGG
rnacentral:rRNA from 1 species